GGAGGACCUGAAGGGGGGCGGCAGGGCAGAAGGGACCCCCGGAGCCCUGCCGCCAUCAGAGAUCGAGCAUCUGGCAUCAGGGAUCUUCGGACCCAGCAGAAGCAUCAGCCACAGGGGAGGUGUCCUCUCAGGGAAGCCAACGAGAGCGCCACCUGCCCCACAUCAGGAGUCCCCCACCCCGUGCUGGCAACCAUAGCAGGCCCCUAACCCCUCAGCCUCCAUCCCCAUCGCCCUCCUCAGGCCCUUUCCCCCACCUCCAGCUCUCAUCUCAGCUCCCAGCGCCCCUGCUACCACCCCACCCUCCAGGUCUCGGCCACACUGACCCCCAUCCUGGGAUAUUUGCCAAAUCCCUGGGAGGACAUCGUUUGUUUGGGCGAUGCCCCCUGGUGGCAUGACAGUGUCUGCCUAGACCCCUGACCCCUAGCCCUCAACUCCCUGGCCUCCUUUGUGUGGAGAGCGCUCCUCUGCUCAGCCUGUGGUUGGGGGCCCAAGGGAAAGCCAGCCCCGGCUGGGCCCCGGCCCCCACCACUUGCCUCCUUGCUGGGCAGCUCCCCCUGGCCUUCGGGCCUCUCCCUGCUCCCCUCGGCCCCUCCUCCUGGGCCGCCCCAAUGAAGGAGCCGGAUGCCAUCAAGCUGUUUGUGGGGCAGAUCCCAAGGCAUCUGGAGGAAAAGGACCUGAAGCCCAUCUUCGAACAGUUUGGUCGGAUCUUCGAGCUGACUGUCAUCAAGGACAAGUACACCGGGCUGCACAAGGGAUGUGCCUUCCUGACAUACUGUGCCCGCGAUUCAGCCCUGAAGGCCCAGAGCGCCCUGCACGAACAGAAGACGCUUCCAGGGAUGAACAGGCCGAUCCAGGUCAAGCCAGCCGACAGCGAGAGCCGAGGAGAAGACCGGAAGCUCUUUGUGGGGAUGCUAGGGAAGCAGCAGACAGAUGAGGACGUCCGGAAGAUGUUCGAGCCCUUUGGGACCAUAGAUGAGUGCACUGUGCUGCGGGGGCCGGAUGGCACCAGCAAAGGCUGCGCCUUCGUGAAGUUCCAGACCCACGCCGAGGCCCAGGCGGCCAUCAACACCCUUCACAGCAGCCGGACCCUGCCGGGCGCCUCGUCCAGCCUGGUGGUGAAGUUCGCUGACACGGAGAAGGAGCGAGGUCUCCGCCGGAUGCAGCAGGUGGCCUCCCAGCUGGGCAUGUUCGGCCCCAUCGCCCUCCAGUUCGGAGCCUACGGCGCCUACACUCAGGCCCUGAUGCAGCAGCAGGCGGCCGUGCUGGCGGCUCACAGUGCCUACCUCAGCCCCAUGGCCACCAUGGCUGCCGUGCAGAUGCAGCACAUGGCUGCCAUCAACGCCAACGGCCUCAUAGCCACCCCCAUCACCCCAUCCUCAGGAACCAGCACCCCUCCUGCCAUCGCUGCCACGCCUGUCUCAGCAAUCCCCGCUGCCCUGGGUGUCAACGGCUACAGCCCGGUGCCCACCCAGCCCGCCGGGCAGCCUGCCCCUGAUGCUCUGUAUCCCAACGGGGUUCACCCCUACCCAGCUCAGAGCCCCGCAGCCCCCGUGGACCCCCUGCAGCAGGCCUACGCAGGGAUGCAGCACUACACAGCAGCCUACCCGGCAGCCUACAGCCUGGUUGCGCCUGCGUUCCCGCAGCCCCCCACCCUGGUGGCUCAGCAGCCCCCGCCGCCUCCCCAGCAGCAACAGCAGCAGCAACAGCGGGAAGGCCCUGACGGCUGCAACAUCUUCAUCUACCACCUGCCCCAGGAGUUCACUGACUCAGAGAUCCUUCAGAUGUUUGUCCCCUUUGGUCACGUCAUCUCAGCCAAAGUCUUUGUUGACCGGGCCACCAAUCAGAGCAAGUGUUUUGGCUUUGUGAGUUUCGACAAUCCAGCCAGUGCCCAGGCCGCCAUCCAGGCCAUGAACGGUUUCCAGAUCGGCAUGAAGCGCCUCAAAGUCCAGCUGAAGCGGCCGAAGGAUGCCAACCGGCCCUACUGAGGGUGCCCAGCCCAGGGCCCGUGUCCAUUGUCGGCCGAAGCCCCCAUCCCCGGACCCCUGCUCCGGGCCCCUGUCUGGAGACACCACAGGAAGGGGCACCUCACCCCCUCUCCCCACGACUGGCCCCAGCCCUCUCUGCACAUCUGCCCUGGGCCUUGAUUGGGCGCUGGAGCAAAAGCUGCUUCACGGCCCUGGGGGCACCGGACACCGGCCCGCUCCUACCACCCGCCUCUCCCAAAGGGCCUGUCUCCUCCCAGGUGCCCUUUUGGCCUUUGUGAGGGAGCAGGGAACAGGCUCCAAGGCUCCGGGGUGUCUGCCUUCUGUGCCCAGCUUUCGCACUUGCCUCCCCCCACCAGCGGCCUGGUCUACCCGUGCGGCUUCCGGAGGGCAGCGGGGCUCCCCCCCACCCCCCACACCCUCAUCCCAGCCUCUUCCCCGCUUUAGGGGUUUCUCAGAAGCUGGUUCUCACGCUCCCUGCCACCCUCAGCUAGAGGUAGGAUGUCCUGAACCCCGGGCUCCCAGCCCUAAAACUCACUGCCUCCCCCAAGGGCCCCCUCCAAGGAGGGUGUGGGGGAGCCCUGAGGGCUGCCUUCCACCGGUCAGCCACAGAGACCCUCUUCCUUCCACGAGGAAAAGACCUCCCCCGAACCCCUAAAAAUGUUUACAGUCUCUGCUGGUCCCCUCCGUGUAAAUACCACUACCAGCGUGCGUUAUCCGCCCGGCCCGGCCCGGACGCUGCCAUCUCUCUUUCUGGGAGUUUAGACAAUGUUUCCCUUGGAUUUUUUUCUCUCUUGAGUUCUCCCUUUGCUUUGAGGGGUAAUUGGGUAUUUGGGAGGAGGGGUGUGGGGAGGGAUCAAGGGCUUUAUUACCUGAUCAUUUUCUUUAGGAAGAGGUUUUAGGGAAAAGAAACGGGUGGGGGCGGGAGUGGUAAGGGAGACUGGGGAGUCCGUUUCAGACACUUCUCUAUGCUUAACUUAUUUAUU